rnacentral:rRNA from 1 species
GAUGAACGCUGGCGGCGUGCCUAAUACAUGCAAGUCGAGCGAACAGACGAGGAGUUUGCUCCGCUGACGUUAGCGGCGGACGUGUGUGUAACAUGUGGAUAACCUACCUAUAAGACUGGGAUAACUUCGGGAAACCGGAGCUAAUACCGGAUAAUAUAUUGAACCGCAGGGUUCAAUAGUGAAAGACGGUUUUGCUGUCACUUAUAGAUGGAUCCGCGCCGCAUUAGCUAGUUGGUAAGGUAACGGCUUACCAAGGCAACGAUGCGUAGCCGACCUGAGAGGGUGAUCGGCCACACUGGAACUGAGACACGGUCCAGACUCCUACGGGAGGCAGCAGUAGGGAAUCUUCGGCAAUGGGCGAAAGCCUGACGGAGCAACGCCGCGUGAGUGAUGAAGGUCUUCGGAUCGUAAAGCUCUGUUAUUAGGGAAGAACAAAUGUGUAAGUAACUAUGCACGUCUUGACGGUACCUGAUCAGAAAGCAACGGCUAACUACGUG